AUUGAACGCUGGCGGCAUGCCUUACACAUGCAAGUCGAACGGUAACAGGUCUUCGGAUGCUGACGAGUGGCGAACGGGUGAGUAAUACAUCGGAACGUGCCUAGUAGUGGGGGAUAACUACUCGAAAGAGUGGCUAAUACCGCAUGAGAUCUACGGAUGAAAGCAGGGGAUCGCAAGACCUUGUGCUACUAGAGCGGCCGAUGGCAGAUUAGGUAGUUGGUGGGAUAAAAGCUACCAAGCCGACGAUCUGUAGCUGGUCUGAGAGGACGAUCAGCCACACUGGGACUGAGACACGGCCCAGACUCCUACGGGAGGCAGCAGUGGGGAUUUUUGGACAAUGGGCGAAAGCCUGAUCCAGCAAUGCCGCGUGCAGGAUGAAGGCCUUCGGGUUGUAAACUGCUUUUGUACGGAACGAAAAGCCCUGGGUUAAUACCCUGGGGUCAUGACGGUACCGUAAGAAUAAGCACCGGCUAACUACGUGCCAGCAGCCGCCGCAG
rnacentral:rRNA from 1 species